CCAAGGGUGGUUGUGGCAGCAGACCUGUCUGCAGGACUCCAGAGUCCUGCCACUGUCCCCUCAGUUUCACGUCCUCAUGCAAUUUCAAAGCCUAUGGGCCUUUCGUGCUGGAGGAUGGUCCAUCAGCCUGUUCUGAUGACAGAACAUUCUUCAUGACCAGACUAAGGUGAUGGCCUGCUGCUGGGAAAGUGGUGGAUGAGACUGGGCUGCAUCACUGCAGACAGAACACAACGGAGGGCAGGUGAUGGAGACCCCUUUCAGCUGGAGAUAGGAAUCUUCACUAUCUGCUCAGGUGGUGUCUUCCGGGUUUUACCCAAUACUCAUCAAUCCAUCUAUUUUUGCAACUUAUCAUGUCUCCAGCUAACUGAAAUGUAAGCUCCACAAGGGUCAGCAUUUUGUUUAGCUUUUACUAAAGGAUCUCCUGAGCCUAAAACAAUGCAUGGCAUCUAAUCAGCAUUUCUGGAUGACUGAAUGAAUGAACAAAUGGAUGGUAUUCCAGGCACACCUUCAAACAGCAACUGCUGGCUGGCUGAUGAUGACAGGAAGAGCCUGUUUCCAGUCAGGCUGGAUCAGAAGAGCCAUCUCUGGCAGCCUACCUCUGAAAUGUAAUUCCAAUUGACAGGGGACCUCAAGAUGUACUUGGGGCUGCUCAUCUUGCAAAGGCUGUAGGGCUGCUGCCCUAACCACAGCAGAGAGGUUUAAAGAAGCCACAGUAAGUUGUUUCUUAGAUGAGGUGGUCAGAUAGCACCUCCCACCAGACCCUCGCCAGCUGAUCCUCCUUUCUGCAUCCCAUUUCCUUAGUCAUUGAGCCAUCUGUGGAAUAGCAUCAAAGUGACAAGACUGGUCUGCACUUUGUGUCUUAAACAGACCUUUUCAAAUGCAUUUCCAUGCAAUUAUCCUUCAUCUCAUUCUUUCCUCUCCCCAUCUCCAACCCUGGCUUUAUCUUAGAAAGCAAUAUAUGCUUGCAGACAAAAAAAAUAUCCAACAAUAUAACAUCUUAUACAGUAGGAAAUGAAGUCACCUCCCUCCUCACCUUACUAUGGGUUACCAUGAAAAUAUUCAGCUCGUUGGCUUCAAGAGAACAGUGGCCUGGAAACUGGAAAGCUGGUGGGAAGGAUGACUUUCAAAUCUGGAUUGCCUUAACAUGUAAAAGGCCUUGCCAGGAAAUAUCCAUAUUAAAUUGUCUGUAGCAUAUCACACUUGUCAAGACUCUGGCUAAUGCAUAUGGAAUUCCAGGAAGACACUCUAAGGUUCACACCAGGCAUCCAUUCCUUAGAUUCUCUAGGCCUCAUCCCUUGGCCAAGAAGGAUUGUCAGUGAGCUGCAUACCUGGGCAGGCCUGCGUCAGUGCAUCAGAGUACUUAGAGUCAUGCUUUGAACUAGACCCUCUACAAGACCCAAUACAAGGGAGAUUUGUUCUGCGAAUGCGUCUGUCCUAGAAGACGCUACCCAGGAGCCACAGGACACACAUCUCCAGGAGCCAUGGGAGGCAUCAUGGAUUCUCUGACUUGGCAUGCUUCUACAUCUUUGGCCCUCUGCUCUCUCUCUAUCCUUUCCCUUCCUUUCCACUCCCCUCUUCUUUUUCCAAUGAUGAGAACAACAGCCAUCAUCUUAUCUUUUUUUUUUUUUGGCCUGGGUUUUCAGAAAACUCUGACCAACUUUGUAGUUGGUGGCAUCUAUUUUCUUAUUUGCAAGAUUCUGGAACUUCUUAUACUAUGAUUUUUGAAAGCUUCCUCAAAAUGCCCCCCCCCCCCAUUACAGGUAGAAGAAAACAUAAGUAAGACACCAACAGUUUGGUGCUGCCGUUUUAUUAUUUAUAGGAAUGGAAAAUAAAGGUCAACGAAGUUCCCUUUGCUAAAGUCAAAGACAGCCAGUUAGUGGAAGGACUUAGAUGAAGAGCUGAGGUUUCUUGUCCUUCCCAUUACCUGAAACUAUUUCAAACUUGGGACUAAUAAGUCUUUCGCCUUCACGUGCUGCAGCUAGUCACUCAACUUGUUUAGUUUUUUGCUCUGUUCCUGGGAAGGGCAGCCAAACGUGGGGCCCUAGUACUCUUCUUUCUGUUAUCACCUUUAGCACACAAGGCUGAGAGUCCGGGAGGCAGGAAGACACACCCUCACAUCUUUGUUUUAUUCUAUUCCUUUAUUUUUUUAGUAGAGAUUUAUGUAUUUCACAUUGGCUUUGCUGUGUAGCCAAAGACAGACCUUGAACCUUGAUCCUUCUGGCUCCACCUGUGUAUGCUCAGGUGAAUCAUUACAUCCAGGUUUUGAGGAUUAAAUCCUGGGCUUGCUUGCUAGGCAAACACUCUACUGAGUUACGUCCCCAGCCUGCUUAUAUCUUUUUAUUUCUUUGUAUGGAGGCUCAGAUCCGACAUCUUAGCAAGUCCACAUGGGAUUUUAUGUAUAAUUAUGAUACCAUAAAUGAAACAGCUUUAGGAAUCAAGGUGUUCCUGAUUAUUAUAUUUUGGUCCCAAAGUGUGGUAUGGGCUCAUCAGAAACCAAGAGAGAAUAAGUUUGUUGCAACCUGAAGAACUCUAUAUCUCAUUUAGAUGAUGGGUACGUGGCUCAGUGGUACAGAUAUGCUUAGCAUGUGUGAAACUCUGUGUCCAACCUCUAGAACCACGAUCACAUGCACACAAAGAAAAACAUGACAAAUGCAAAAGGAGUCCGGGAGAGAUGCUGGUGUGCAUAAAUAUUCAGGAUGGACUGAUGGGAACUCAUAGGUGCUGUAGAGAAGAGGGCCACAGUCAGGAGCAGAGUAUGUGACAAACCCACAGUCCACCUGCAGUGUCGCUCUGCUUGGGAGCUCUGGGGGCACACAUGCUACCCUGAUGCUCUCCCAUUUACCAUCUAUGUCUGGUGAAAGGAAAAACUGAGGAACAUUUGAAACAACAAGCUAAAGCCAAGCUGGAUUUUGUCUCUAACCUGGCAGAAGAUCAAGCCUUUGGUUCCCUGCCUGAUGUUUGAAAUGGUGAUCUACUGUUUUCUAGAAAAACAAUUUCUUCUCCAUAUUUCUUUCUGUUUUUGAAACAGACCAUUGGUCUGAUACCUACUUUUCCUGUGAGUACCUUAGUGAGCAGCAAUAAAACAUUCAUAAUAAAUAUUUCAUGCAAGACUCAUUAAG